GAUAUCCCUAUCAUGAAGUAAAAAUCUCAGUUGCUCAAGCCAUAAUCUUUUUCGUUCAUUACUUGGUCUCUAAUGGGAACAUGGAUAUUUGAUUUUGUACCUAAUCAUCUAAACUUGGAGCCGGUAAGCUGAAGAGGAGGAUUAAUUAAUCUUUGUUUAAACAUAUAUUGAUUAAUUAAUUGGCUUUUUGGUUGUAGGCUUAUAGCAAAAGUGAGUGAGGACCAAAGGGAUUUAAAGACAUGACAAGUCUGAAAAGAAUGGGGCUAAAAAGCAGCAGAAGGGUUGGGCUGGACCCAGAACUUAUUUAUACGCUUAUGGUGUCAAUGGUGACGCCGCUUGAAUCUUUAACUCAGUUUAAGCUUAUAAGCUUGUGCACGAACUUGUCACUAAAACUGUACUCCAAUGGAUUGAGGAAGAUUAUGAAAACAACUUGAUUGCUAAAAAAAAAUUAUGAAAUGACUGUUAAGGUUGAUUUUGAGAUGA